rnacentral:lncRNA from 1 species
UGGACUAACUAGGAUCAAAAGAUUCGUCUUGUGAUUUACAGCUAAACUAUGUAAUUAGUUUUUAUUUCGUCUAUAUUUAAUGUUUCAUGCAUGUGCCACAAGAUUCGAUGUGACGAAGAAUCUUGAAAACUUUUUGAUUUUCAGGGUGAACUAAACAAGGCCCAUAUCUAUGACCUCUACCUCACCAUCAGUCAUACCCUCUUCCACUCUGAACUGUAGCUCAUAACCAAAAUCCCCAAUUACAACAUCCACUAAUUGGGGAUAAGACUAGGAUCAAGCACGGCUACUUUCAUUCUUGAUCUGCCAAACUUUUUUGUGAAUUUGGUAAGCUCUAGGGACACCUAAGAGAAUUUUUUUUAUUUUUAGCCUAAA